rnacentral:rRNA from 1 species
AACGAACGCUGGCGGCAGGCCUAACACAUGCAAGUCGAGCGAGGACUUCGGUCCUAGCGGCGGACGGGUGAGUAACGCGUGGGAGCGUGCCCCUUGGUACGGAAUAGCCCCGGGAGACUGGGAGUAAUACCGUAUGAGCUCUACGGAGGAAAGAUUUAUCGCCAAGGGAUCGGCCCGCGUUGGAUUAGGUAGUUGGUGGGGUAAUGGCCUACCAAGCCGACGAUCCAUAGCUGGUUUGAGAGGAUGAUCAGCCACACUGGGACUGAGACACGGCCCAGACUCCUACGGGAGGCAGCAGUGGGGAAUCUUAGACAAUGGGCGCAAGCCUGAUCUAGCCAUGCCGCGUGAGCGAUGAAGGCCUUAGGGUUGUAAAGCUCUUUCAGCUGGGAAGAUAAUGACUGUACCAGCAGAAGAAGCCCCGGCUAACUCCGUGCCAGCCGCCGCCGUAAAAC